AAGCGUAUAAUUUUUGAGUUCUGUAAUCAAACUUAUAUUUUUAUUUUCAAGUUAUAAACCAAAAUUAUCAAACAUCUGAAAGUGUGCAGCAUAAACCAAACAUUAGUAUGUACGGUUCUCUUUUUACAGCAUAGCAUAGGAGAUCACCAAAUUUGAAGUUGGAUAAAUACAAAUAUACAAUGAAAGAUUACCAUCCAUUCAUUAAUCCAGCAUGCACACUAACGAGGCUGGUCGCUUUUCGUAACGCCUAAAGAAGAUCAGUACACAUCCGAAAAAGAAGAAGACAUUUA
rnacentral:lncRNA from 1 species